UAUGGGGACCCUGCAGCCAGAAAGAACUCUAGUCACUGAGCAAGAAACACCAGAGGGAACCUAUCUUCAUGCUGGAUAGACUAGUGCUUUUUCUUCCAAGGAAGCAAUACAGAUUCCCUUCCAAAUAAGAAAUAGCUGACAGGGAGGCUCAGCAUCAUCAAUAUUUUCUUAAAAAAAAAAAAAAAAAAAUCUUCCAUCAAGCUACCAUAAGGUGGUUAAUAAUAGACUAGUUAUGUAGAAGUGAUGACAUCUGUACUUCCCAAGAACCAUUUUCAUGAAGAGACACUGAGGGAGGAAGACUGAAUUUAAAAGAAUAUUUGGAAGACUCUGAGAAAGAAAAACUGUCCAGCAUCUCUGCAAGAGGUCCUUUGAAAUGUAGAGUAAAUGUAGCUGAAGGCCCUGAGUAAGCUGGUCAAGAAAAACACUCAAGUGAAGGAGAAGUAAGAAUUUCUGAUCAUAGAAUCAUCCAGGGCUAUCAUGCCCCAAUUACGCUUUACUUGUGAGAUCUGACAGAAUUACAGCACUUGAUGACAAGAUUACACCUUGAAUUUUUUUCUCUAAUUAGAAUGUAUCAAAGUAUCCACAGUCUUUUUGAUUUUAUAAUUUGACUGAUUAUAAGUCCAUAUUUCUCCCUUACAUCCCUUAUAGAGGAUGAGUACUUCUCAGCCAGGAUGUCAAGUUUGUAACCACAAGGUUUUGACUGUUUUGAGGUGAAUCUUCCACGUAAAUAGGAGCUUGUAACGGAAGUGGAACUAAUGAGCACUAAACGUGUCACUACUGGCAUGCGGAGAAACACAAAGAAAUUAAAAUGUUUUUUCACUGGAAACUAAAAAUGUCUGUUCUUCCAUUUCUGUUCCUAAGUAGAUAGUAAAUGACUGAGCAGAAAAAUGUUAGUGCACUGAAUAACAGGACAAGACAGCUUAUGACUCCUGAAGAGCUGUCAUUUUUUCUCCAGUUUAGCAAAGCGGGAAUUAUUUCAGCUACAACUCAAAAAAAGUUUUCAGGGGAAAAAAAAUUAAGGAAAAAAAUAAUCUCCAAGAGCAAAAUAAAAAAAACAGGGAGUUACCUAAAUGUUAAAUUUCUUGACAUGGUAACUGUGGCUCAGUCUCUGCACAAAAGUUAAAUUUUAAGAAAUAAAAAGAAACAAUGUUUUUCAUAACUUGAGUCAUUCAGAAUAUUCAUGUCUGAACAAAUCAAACAAAAGAGAAAUAGUAAUUUGGAUCAAUUAGCAGAUCUGGAUGGACUUUUUUUUUUUUUGUGAGAAAAUAUCUGCAUUCUAGAGAACUGAUCAGAAAUAUAAUCAAAUAAAAAUUAACAAUGCUUUUCUGAUGGAUUCUUUUUGAGCCCAGUAAUGGUAGAAGAUGUGCAAACACUUAUGGGUAUGAUCACUCAUCCAAAUAUUUGCAGUAGGAAACCAUAUGGAGGACUACACAAAUGCUAGAAACCCUGUAAAUGAAUGUACAGAAGCAUUCUGAAAUGACAUUCCACCAGAGUUCUGGUACUAAAACAACAUUGUCAAAUUAUACUCUAGGUAUCACAAAAUAACUGUAUUCUUUUAUAUGUUCAAAAUUAAUACAUGUGGAGGCAAUACAAAUAAAUGUUUUUUUAUAUAACCUUUGUUCCACAGUUUCCGAAUGCCCUAAUAUAAUCUAUAUUUCCUUUCUCUCUUUUUGUAUUUCAAUUAUUUCUGAAUGCUGAAAAGCACCAGAAAUGCUGUCAUGUAUGCUUCCUACCUAUGUUAAAUUGA